CGCGGGCCGGGCGUCAUGGGCGGCCUCUUCUGGCGCUCCGCGCUGCAGGGGCUGCGCUGCGGCCCGCGGGCCCAGGGCCCGAGCCUGCUAGCGCGCCACAGCUCGGCGUCCCCUCCAGAGGAGGACGGCUGGGGCGGAGCUCAGUGCUGACUCCGGGUCUGGAAGCACAGGCCUUGAAACUCCACAGCAGCACAGGCCCCGUCUCCUGGCUCGGGCAGAAUCCUGCUACCUUCCCUCUUCAAUCUUCAGGCCCCUUUUGUCCCUGUUUCCAGGGCUCACCUGGUGGGGAAAGUGUGUUUCACCCUGGUUCCCUGCCACUCCUUCACCUCAGACACAGGGUGGGCUCUGGGUCCUUCCUCAUGUGGAAAGCCUGGGCUUCAGACCAUGUGUGUCGUCAUCCAGAAGGGCUGGAGUCAAAAGUGAGGCUGGAGUUUUGCAGGAUCUCCAGACUUCCCUGCGGCCACUGAGCUGGGCUGUGCCUCCGUGGACCUCAGGGUGGUCCCUGAGCUGGGCUGUGCCUCAGUGCCUCCCUGAACCUCGGGGCGAUCUCAGGCAGCUUCUGCCUCUGCUGGGAGGAGCCAUGGCCCCUGGGAGAGGCUAGAAGCCCUGGGGACACAUUGCCUUGGGUGUCCCUGACAGGGACUAUCAUGGGGGCGUUUCUGGCUGUGGGCACCAUCCUUAUCCCUUCCAGAGUGCCCUGCUUAGGGGCAGACACCCUGAAGCCUGGUGACCCCUGGGCUCCGGCUGGGAAACCCGGAUGGUGGGGACGUGAAAGGUGAGGUGGCAGUGCCUCUGACCCCUUGCCUUUUAAAGGAGGGCCCUCCUGGACCCGGGAGCGGACCCUGGUGGCAGUGAAGCCAGAUGGCGUGCAACGGCGGCUCGUUGGGGACGUGAUCCAGCGCUUUGAGAGGCGGGGCUUCACACUGGUGGGGAUGAAGAUGCUGCAGGCACCAGAGAGUGUCCUUGCCGAGCACUACCAGGACCUGCGGAGGAAGCCCUUCUACCCUGCCCUCAUCCGCUACAUGAGCUCUGGGCCUGUGGUGGCCAUGGUCUGGGAAGGGUACAAUGUUGUCCGCGCCUCGAGGGCCAUGAUUGGACACACCGACUCGGCUGAGGCUGCCCCAGGAACCAUAAGGGGUGACUUCAGCGUCCACAUCAGCAGGAACGUCAUCCACGCCAGCGACUCCGUGGAGGGGGCCCAGCGGGAGAUCCAGCUGUGGUUCCAGAGCAGUGAGUUGGUGAGCUGGGCAGACGGGGGCCAGCACAGCAGCAUCCACCCAGCCUGAGGCUCAAGCUGCCCUUACCACCCCAUCCCCCACGCAGGACCAACUACCUCCAUCAGCAAGAACCCAAGCCCACAUCCAAACCUGCCUGUCCCAAACCACUUACUUUCCUGUUCACCUCUGCCCCACCCCAGCCCAGAGGAGUUUGAGCCACCAACUUCAGUGCCUUUCUGUACCCCAAGCCAGCACAAGAUUGGACCAAUCCUUUUUGCACCAGAGUGCCGGACAACCUUUGUGGUGGGGGGGUCUUCACGUUAUCGUAACCUCUCCUCUAAAGGGGAGGCAUUAAAAU
rnacentral:sRNA from 1 species